rnacentral:lncRNA from 1 species
AAACCUCACUCUCUAAGAGUAGAAAAACCUCACCAAGAAAAACCUCACAUCCACUCAAAGCCCUAAUCGGAUCUUCCUUCACGGGAGUGCUAGCUCGCGUCGAAGGCUCUGGAUGGCUAAUCCAAGCUCCUUUCUUUGGAUCUCCCAGACUUCUCCAGAUCAAAAGAUGAAGCUUUAUAAGGAGGUAGUAAUAUGGAAGAUUGGACAAGACUCACUCUUAUAUUUUUUUCUCACAAAAUGAGUUGAAACCCUAGAACCCACAGCUCGCACC